GACAGAGGUGGCAAGCGUUGUUCGGAUUUACUGGGCGUAAAGAGUGCGUAGGUGGUGAGGUAAGACCUGUGGGAAAGCCCUGGGCUUAACCCAGGAAGGUCGCAAGUGACUGCCUUGCUUGAGGACGGGAGAGGAGAGCGGAAUUCCCGGUGUAGUGGUGAAAUGCGUAGAUAUCGGGAGGAACACCAGUGGCGAAGGCGGCUUCCUGGCCUGUUCUUGACGCUGAGGCGCGAAAGCUAGGGGAGCAAACGGG
rnacentral:rRNA from 1 species